CCCAUCAACAAUAUAAAAGUGCUCCUGUUUCUCCACAACCUCACCAACAUCUGUUGACUUUUUAAAUAAUCGCCAUUCUGACUGAUGUGAGAUGAUAUCUCAUUGUGGUUUUCAUUUGCAUUUCUUUGAUGAUCAGUGAUGUUGAGCUUUUUUUCAUGUUUGUUGGCUGAAUGUAUGUCUUUUGAGAAGUGUCUGUUCAUAUCCCUUGUCAACUUUUUAAUGGGUUUUUUUCUUGUAAAUUUACUUAAGUUCCUUGUAGAUUCUGGAAAUUAGACCUUUGUCAGACGGAGAGAUUGCAAAAAUCUUCUCCCAUUCUGUAGGUUGUUCGCUUUGAUGACAGUUUCUUUUGCUGUGCAGAAGCUCUUUAAUUAGAUCCCAUUUGUCAAUUUUUCCUUUUGUUGCAAUUGCUUUUGGUGAUUUCAUCAUAAAAUCUUUGCCAAUACCUAUGUCCUGAAUGGUAUUGCCUAGAUUUUCUUCUAGGGUUUUUAUAAUGUAUAGUUUUAUACAAUUUAUAGUCUUGGGUUUUACAUCAUAAGAUGUUAGGAAGGGAUCCAGUUUCAAUUUUCUGCAUCUGGCUAGCAGUUCUCCCAGCACCACUUAUUAAAUAGGAAAUGCUUUCCCUAUUGCUUUUACUUGGUUUGUCAAAGAUCAGAUGGUUGUAGAUGUGCAGUUUUAUUUCUGAGUUCUCUAUUCUGUUCCAUUGGUCUAUGUGCCUGUUUUCGUACCAGUACCAUGCUGUUUUGGUUAGUGUAGCCUUGUAGAGCUUGAAGUUGUGUAGCCUGAUGCCUCCAGCUUUGUUCUUUUUGCUUAGGAUAGUCUUGGCUCUCAGAGCUCUUUAUUGGUUCCAUAUGAAUUUUAAAAUAUUUAAAUUUUUUUUUCUACUUCUGUGAAUAAUGUCAAUGGUAGUUUAGUGGGAAUAGCAUUCAAUCUAUAAAUUGCUUUGGCACUAUGGCCAUUUUCACAAUAUGGAUUCCUCCUACCCAAAUGUAAACACAAGUAUCAAUAGCCAAGUUGACCAAGUGGAAGAAAGAAUAUCAGAGCUUGAAGACUAUCUUGCUGGAAUAAGGCAGGCAGACUAGAUUAGAGAAAAAAAGAAUGGAAAAGAACGAACAAUGGGACUACGUAAAAAGACCUUUAGAUUCAAGAACUAUGAGACUAUGUAAAAAGACCUUCAGAAGAGAUUCUGUGCUAAAUGAACACAAAUGUGAACCAGCCAAAGACUCAUCAUGAGAUGUAAAUUUGGAUACAAGACUUAAUAUUUUAUUAAAGUUUUAGGGUACAUGUGCACAACGUGCAGGUUACAUAUGUAUACAUGUGCCAUGUUGGUGUGUCUGUAACAGCAGGUUAAGGAGUCCUUCAAUCAUAAAGGAAGACAUUGAAAUAAGUUAAACUACCUAUUGCCUGUUUUCAAAUAGCCCAUUGGAGUCUUACUGUACAAUGACAACACAAGCAGAAAUUGUCCCA
rnacentral:lncRNA from 1 species